UACGUAGGGCGCAAGCGUUGUCCGGAAUUAUUGGGCGUAAAGAGCUCGUAGGUGGCUUGUCGCGUCUGCCGUGAAUGCCCAUGGCUUAACUGUGGGUCUGCGGUGGAUACGGGCAGGCUGGAGGCUGGUAGGGGCAAGCGGAAUUCCUGGUGUAGCGGUGAAAUGCGCAGAUAUCAGGAGGAACACCGGUGGCGAAGGCGGCAUCCUGGACCGGUAUUGACGCUGAGGCGCGAAAGCCAGGGGAGCAAACGGG
rnacentral:rRNA from 1 species